rnacentral:rRNA from 1 species
GUCCACGCUGUAAACGAUGGAUACUCGGUGUUGGCCCGCAAGGGUCGGUGCCUAAGCUAACGCAGUAAGUAUCCCACCUGGGAAGUACGAUCGCAAGGUUGAAACUCAAAGGAAUUGACGGGGCCCGCACAAGCAGUGGAGCAUGUGGUUUAAUUCGAUGCAACGCGAAGAACCUUACCUAGGCUCGAAAGACUGCAUUAUCCUCCGGUGAAAGUCGGAGGCGUCGCAAGACAAUGCAGACAGGUGCUGCAUGGCUGUCGU